ACGAACGCUGGCGGCGUGGAUAAGACAUGCAAGUCGAACGAGAGAAUUGCUAGCUUGCUAAUAAUUCUCUAGUGGCGCACGGGUGAGUAACACGUGAGUAACCUGCCCCCGAGAGCGGGAUAGCCCUGGGAAACUGGGAUUAAUACCGCAUAGUAUCGAAAGAUUAAAGCAGCAAUGCGCUUGGGGAUGGGCUCGCGGCCUAUUAGUUAGUUGGUGAGGUAACGGCUCACCAAGGCGAUGACGGGUAGCCGGUCUGAGAGGAUGUCCGGCCACACUGGAACUGAGACACGGUCCAGACACCUACGGGUGGCAGCAGUCGAGAAUCAUUCACAAUGGGGGAAACCCUGAUGGUGCGACGCCGCGUGGGGGAAUGAAGGUCUUCGGAUUGUAAACCCCUGUCAUGUGGGAGCAAAUUAAAAAGAUAGUACCACAAGAGGAAGAGACGGCUAACUCUGUGCCAGCAGCCGCGGUAAUACAGAGGUCUCAAGCGUUGUUCGGAAUCACUGGGCGUAAAGCGUGCGUAGGCUGUUUCGUAAGUCGUGUGUGAAAGGCGCGGGCUCAACCCGCGGACGGCACAUGAUACUGCGAGACUAGAGUAAUGGAGGGGGAACCGGAAUUCUCGGUGUAGCAGUGAAAUGCGUAGAUAUCGAGAGGAACACUCGUGGCGAAGGCGGGUUCCUGGACAUUAACUGACGCUGAGGCACGAAGGCCAGGGGAGCGAAAGGGAUUAGAUACCCCUGUAGUCCUGGCAGUAAACGGUGCACGCUUGGUGUGCGGGGAAUCGACCCCCUGCGUGCCGGAGCUAACGCGUUAAGCGUGCCGCCUGGGGAGUACGGUCGCAAGAUUAAAACUCUAAGAAAUUGACGGGGACCCGCACAAGCGGUGGAGUAUGUGGCUUAAUUCGAUGCAACGCGAAGAACCUUACCUGGGCUUGACAUGUAAUGAACAACAUGUGAAAGCAUGCGACUCUUCGGAGGCGUUACACAGGUGCUGCAUGGCCGUCGUCAGCUCGUGUCGUGAGAUGUUUGGUUAAGUCCAGCAACGAGCGCAACCCCUGUUGCCAGUUACCAGCACGUGAAGGUGGGGACUCUGGCGAGACUGCCCAGAUCAACUGGGAGGAAGGUGGGGACGACGUCAGGUCAGUAUGGCCCUUAUGCCCAGGGCUGCACACGUACUACAAUGCCCAGUACAGAGGGGGCCGAAGCCGCGAGGCGGAGGAAAUCCUAAAAACUGGGCCCAGUUCGGACUGUAGGCUGCAACCCGCCUACACGAAGCCGGAAUCGCUAGUAAUGGCGCAUCAGCUACGGCGCCGUGAAUACGUUCCCGGGUCUUGUACACACCGCCCGUCACAUCAUGGAAGCCGGUCGCACCCGAAGUAUCUGAAGCCAACCGCAAGGAGGCAGGGUCCUAAGGUGAGACUGGUAACUGGGAUG
rnacentral:rRNA from 1 species